rnacentral:rRNA from 1 species
CCUACGGGUGGCAGCAGUGGGGAAUAUUGGUCAAUGGGCGCAAGCCUGACCCAGCAACGCCGCGUGAAGGAAGAAGGCUUUCGGAUUGUAAACUUCUUUUCUGAGGGACGAAAAAAGUGACGGUACCUCAGUAAUCAGCCACGGCUAACUACGUGCCAGCAGCCGCAGUAAGACGUAUGUGACAAGCUUUAUCCGGAUUUAUUGGGUGUAAAGGGCGUGUAGGCGGGAAAGCAAGUCAGAUGUGAAAACUCAGGGCUCAACCCUGAGCCUGCAUUUGAAACUGUUUUUCUUGAGUGCUGGAGAGGCAAUCGGAAUGCUGGGUGUAGCGGUGAAAUGCGUAGAUAUACGGAGGAACACCAGUGGCGAAGGCGGAUUGCUGGACAGUAACUGACGCUGUGGCGCGAAAGCGUGGGGAGCAAACAGGAUUAGAUACCCCAGUAGUC